rnacentral:rRNA from 1 species
UCAGGAUGAACGCUGGCGGCGUGCCUAAUACAUGCAAGUCGAGCGAAUGGAUUAAGAGCUUGCUCUUAUGAAGUUAGCGGCGGACGGGUGAGUAACACGUGGGUAACCUGCCCAUAAGACUGGGAUAACUCCGGGAAACCGGGGCUAAUACCGGAUAACAUUUUGAACCGCAUGGUUCGAAAUUGAAAGGCGGCUUCGGCUGUCACUUAUGGAUGGACCCGCGUCGCAUUAGCUAGUUGGUGAGGUAACGGCUCACCAAGGCAACGAUGCGUAGCCGACCUGAGAGGGUGAUCGGCCACACUGGGACUGAGACACGGCCCAGACUCCUACGGGAGGCAGCAGUAGGGAAUCUUCCGCAAUGGACGAAAGUCUGACGGAGCAACGCCGCGUGAGUGAUGAAGGCUUUCGGGUCGUAAAACUCUGUUGUUAGGGAAGAACAAGUGCUAGUUGAAUAAGCUGGCACCUUGACGGUACCUAACCAGAAAGCCACGGCUAACUACGUGCCAGCAGCCGCGGUAAUACGUAGGUGGCAAGCGUUAUCCGGAAUUAUUGGGCGUAAAGCGCGCGCAGGUGGUUUCUUAAGUCUGAUGUGAAAGCCCACGGCUCAACCGUGGAGGGUCAUUGGAAACUGGGAGACUUGAGUGCAGAAGAGGAAAGUGGAAUUCCAUGUGUAGCGGUGAAAUGCGUAGAGAUAUGGAGGAACACCAGUGGCGAAGGCGACUUUCUGGUCUGUAACUGACACUGAGGCGCGAAAGCGUGGGGAGCAAACAGGAUUAGAU